rnacentral:rRNA from 1 species
AUAAUAAAUUUAAAUACUAAGAUUUUAUUUGUUUGUCAUGAUUAAUUUUAAAAGUAUUGGCGGUAUUUAGUUAAAUUCUGAGGAACUUGUCUAUUUAAAUUGAUAUUACUCAUUAAAUUUUAUCUAUAAUAAAUUUUAUGUAUUGCUGUUUAAUUUAUUAUUUAAUAUUUAAAAUAAGUUUAAUUAAUUUUUUUUUAGGAAGUUCAAGUCAAAAUGUAGAUUUUUAUAGGGUUAGAUGAGUUACGUUUAUAGUGAAAUGUGAAGCUGUAAAUUUAAUUGUAAUAUUAUUGAAUUGAAGGUAGGAUUAGGUAGUAAAAAGAAAAUAAUUAGUUUUUUUGAUAUUUUUUACUAGUAUGU